rnacentral:rRNA from 1 species
CAGCGAUUCCCCCCAUCCCCUCCUCCUCCCCGCGGGCGCCGAGAUCCACCUCCCUCCUCCCACCCCGGUUCUACCCUGGCCCUGCGGCCGCCGGAUCCGGCGUGAUCCUUCCUCCCAUCCCCGCACCCACCCUAAGCCGUCCAGCGCCCUGCCCGUCGUGCCCCGGGAACGGAUCCGGCCACCCUCGCCGGCAUGCACCCUCAGCCACGGCAAUCCCCUACCCGCGCCAGCCAGGACGACACCAUCUUCUUCCCCCCACCACCUCCUUUGUGUCGUGCCCCAGUUCCUCCCUUCCACAACCACCUACCCCUGUUGGAGCUCCUCCUACCCGCGCCGCCGCGCCGUCCCACCACCUCGCCCUUUGCCACGGCACGCCGCCAUGGCACCACCCCUUUCCUUCCUUUUCCUGGUGACCCACCCCGUCCACGCCGACCUCUGUGUCGGAUCCGGUGAGAUCCGGCGCUACAUGCCUCCACCGUCGCUGUCUAAGGUCGCUUCAGCACCAGAUCCGCCGCGAGCUUGACCUACGACGCCUCAUCCCGUCCCUGACGCGCCUGGUCUCUGCUCCAUCCCGGCCAAGGUGGCCUCUCAAUACCGGCAGCACGCACGCCGAGAGCCGCCACGCUGCUGGCCUCCUCAAGCAUGGGUCGAUUGCACAGUUCGACGGAGGGCUGCUAUGUGCGGCGGAGCGCCAUGCAGUCUGCGCAUCCUGAUUGUGCUGUUCGUUCGACGGCUCUGGUCCUCUUCAUGACCCGUCCCCAUUCGAUGGACACCCCGUGCUAAUCAUCUCCCCUUGCAGUCCACACACCGGAUGCGAGCAGAGCAUCCGUUGGCUCGGUGCAGCUCGCUCCGCCACAUAUCACGCCUUUUUUUUGCAGAUUGUUUGUAGCCCACUUCGGCGCCUCUGAAGUAUGUGGCGCAUACAGGUGCAAUGCAGCAAACACAUGCGUGCAGUCCCCAGCAGAAACAUGCAUGCUCACCCCUCGUUGGAGCAGCACGGUCAUGGCGAUGCAGUGCACUUCAAUUCCGCGUGGAGCAGCACGGUCAUCGCGAUGCAGUGCACUGCGACUCCACGUGUAGUGCAAAUUUUUUGGAAGUGCAAUAAGUUUGUGUAAAAAUACUAUGUUUCAUUACCCCUAUGUAUGAAGUGCAAUUUCUUUCGUGUUUUUGAAAGAAUCAGUCGACUAUAUCACAC